GUCACGGGGACUGGCGACGUGCCACUCUUUGUAGAAGUCGUCCCUUGGACUUUCUAUUAGACACUCCUUGCAAGAAAGUGUCAUUAGUUGUUUUGGCACCCUCCAGUCUUGGCUGGUGCAUCUUGCUCAGUUCUUUCCAAUUCUCAGUAUUUAUUCACAUGAUGGUGACAUUUAGAUCCUUUCUACCACACCUUGUUUCCAAGCCUAAUCUAAACACAGCGCUUGGGGCAGGCAAAGUCUAAAGGAUUUGACAUAACCUUUGUAAAUAAUGUUCUCUUAUUCCUGAACAGUUUUCACAGAGGCUAAAUUCUAUUUUUGCAGCAUUCAAGCGCUGUGGGGAUUCACGCCCGUGGUCACCGAUGCUGGGACGCGCUGUGUCCCAGCAGCCCUGCCGUGGAAGGGGCAGUGGUUGGAACAGCUCUGGAACAGCUCUGGAACAGCUCUGCUCAAUAUGUGACCUGUGUGCUUUGUGGGUGCAGCCCUGGUAGCUGAGUGUGCCCAGGUGUGUCAGGGCUGCUGCUCUGCAGGCCCCACCUGACUCCACCAGGUGCACCUCCAAAGCCCUGGGCUCCUGUGCAGGUCGGCCUGGGGGUGCAGCAGGAAUUUCAUCUCCCAUCACAGCCCGGGGCUGGGCUUUGGUCCCCUCUGUUCCCUGCCCAGGUAACCCUUGCCUCGUGGCAGACUCUGGGCCCUGGUUCCCCAGAGCAGUGCUGCAGCCCCUGGAAACGCUGAGCAAGAUCUCUGAGUGCUUCCAGCCUCUUCUUCUGGGGCUUGUGUCUCCACGGCUGCUUAGCCCAUCCUUUGGAAACUGAAUAACUGAGCUCCCUUGGGAGCUUUUAAGCCAUUUCUGCACUGUUCUUGCUGUUCCUUCCUCUGUCCAUCUGAUUCCCCCUCCUCGAAGGACUCUGGGAGCAGAGCCACCACAUCAGCAGCUUGGUCUGAGCCAGCCAAAAUCAGUCACGGGCUGGCAAAGUUCUCUUCAAAAGCAGCUGUAAGAAUUGCUGGAAGGCCACAGUGUCACUGCAGAAAUAUUUUAUGUUCUUGAUCUGUGCUCAGGUUUUGGGUAUGAUGGGGGCUCACCUUCAUCACUUCUGUAGCAAACCCACAUCUGAAUUAUUCACAUUACACUUACUCCCAGCAUGCCAGUAGCCAAUUUUAUAAAGACUGUAAUGUUGGUUUAAAUCCUAUCUAUUGAAUCCCAGCUCACUGCUGGAUUGUGGUGUGUGUUGUUUUUUUCAGUGACAGAAUAAAACUGCUCUCCAUUUUUAAGUUCUA